CCCGACACCCUCCCUGCAGAGCCCCCGCCCACAGCUGCUCCACAGGGGGUACCAGUGGGUGUCAACCCCUGGCAGCGGGGACACCAGGCCUCAAAGAAAGAGCCCCGGGCUGCAUCCGCACUUCUCUGGGCUCCAACAGGAUGUGGUUGCAUCAUCUCCUGGAGGAACGGAUUUGCCUUGAAACGCAGGAGGCAGAGCGGGCCUGGGAGAAGGAGGUUGUUUCCACGCCUUCCUGGGGGAGAGGCUGGUGCAGUCGUGAGAGUCAACCGGGAGCUCGGAGGAGGAGCAGACAGGACGUGGGAGAGCUCGGGAGAGACCC
rnacentral:lncRNA from 1 species